CAGAGUUGGGGGCGUGACAAAUACAUGCAAGUCGAGCGGACAGAUGGGAGCUUGCUCCCUGAUGUUAGCGGCGGACGGGUGAGUAACACGUGGGUAACCUGCCUGUAAGACUGGGAUAACUCCGGGAAACCGGGGCUAAUACCGGAUGGUUGUUUGAACCGCAUGGUUCAAACAUAAAAGGUGGCUUCGGCUACCACUUACAGAUGGACCCGCGGCGCAUUAGCUAGUUGGUGAGGUAACGGCUCACCAAGGCAACGAUGCGUAGCCGACCUGAGAGGGUGAUCGGCCACACUGGGACUGAGACACGGCCCAGACUCCUACGGGAGGCAGCAGUAGGGAAUCUUCCGCAAUGGACGAAAGUCUGACGGAGCAACGCCGCGUGAGUGAUGAAGGUUUUCGGAUCGUAAAGCUCUGUUGUUAGGGAAGAACAAGUACCGUUCGAAUAGGGCGGUACCUUGACGGUACCUAACCAGAAAGCCACGGCUAACUACGUGCCAGCAGCCGCGGUAAUACGUAGGUGGCAAGCCUUUCCGGAAUUAUUGGGCGUAAAGGGCUAGCAGCGGUUUCUUAGGCUGAUCUGAAAGCCCCCGGCUCAACCGGGGAGGGUCAUUGAAACUGGGGAACUUGAGUGCAGAAGAGGAGAGUGGAAUUCCACGUGUAGCGGUGAAAUGCGUAGAGAUUGGAGGAACACCAGUGGCGAAGGCGACUCUCUGGUCUGUAACUGACGCUGAGGAGCGAAAGCGUGGGGAGCGAACAGGAUUAGAUACCCUGGUAGUCCACGCCGUAAACGAUGAGUGCUAAGUGUUAGGGGUUUCCGCCCCUAGUGCUGCAGCUAACGCAUUAAGCACUCCGCUGGGAGUACCGUCGCAAGACUGAAACUCAAGGAUUGACGGAGGCCGCACAGCGAUGGAGCAUGUGAUUUAAUUCGAACAACGCGAAGAACCUUACCAGGUCUUGACAUCCUCUGACAAUCCUAGAGAUAGGACGUCCCCUUCGGGGGCAGAGUGACAGGUGGUGCAUGGUUGUCGUCAGCUCGUGUCGUGAGACGUUGGGUUAAGUCCCGCAACGAGCGCAACCCUUGAUCUUAGUUGCCAGCAUUCAGUUGGGCACUCUAAGGUGACUGCCGGUGACAAACCGGAGGAAGGUGGGGAUCACGUCAAAUCAUCAUGCCCCUUAUGACCUGGGCUACACACGUGCUACAAUGGACAGAACAAAGGGCAGCGAAACCGCGAGGUUAAGCCAAUCCCACAAAUCUGUUUUCAGUUCGGAUCGCAGUCUGCAACUUGACUGCGUGAAGCUGGAAUCGCUAGUAAUCGCGGAUCAGCAUGCCGCGGUGAAUACGUUCCCGGGCCUUGUACACACCGCCCGUCACACCACGAGAGUUUGUAACACCCGAAGUCGGUGAGGUAACCUUUUAGGAGCCAGCCGCCGAAGGUGGGACAGAUGAUUUGGGGUGAAAGGUUCGUAACCCCAACUG
rnacentral:rRNA from 1 species